AGAAAAUACAACUUGCAAUUGACAAGUAAACAUAACAAUUGCUAGGCAACAGGAAAAUAUACAAAGAACGAGGCGCCUAUUAAGGCCAUAAGUCUAUCUAAAUAAAACACAGAAUCAUCAUCAGAAAUGGAUCGAUUGGUGACAUCAAGGAACGAAGAAGGAUGGACAAAGUACAUGUCAGCUAUCACAGUAUAAUCAAUACAAGUUACAUAAAGUUAUUAGUGUUACCAUACAAACAACGGAGCCAAAAUUGAUUGUUUCAUCGAUUUUUCAAGCAAUUAGAUAAAUUGAAAUGUCCAGCAUUAUUGUUAUACAAUACCUUUACUAUUCACUUAACAUGUUCAUCUUUAAACACAGAGGCCAAGCCAUCACCAAAUUUAGACAUCUUCCCAUAGUCAAAGGAUUCACCAGAAUGAUAACUAAGCUCUUCAUCCCAUCGUCUAUCUGCAAAUACAGAGUCAAUGAUAUAGAGAAUGAGGUUAACAAUUAAAGUGAUUAGCCAAAAAUAUUGGUUCGGUUAAAAUGUAAAUGUUAAAUGUACCUGUCCAGGAUGGUGGAGUUGCAGGUGUUGAUAUAGCCCAAGAAUCUGGUGGAGAUGGUUUAACAAUUGGGAUUUCAACUUCCUGAAUUGAAAUUAUAUGAGUCUUUUUAGGCAUCGGAGCCUGAGUUGGCGGUGGUGGUGGUGGUGGCGGAGGUGCAGGUGGAGGCUGAGAUGGAACCAUUUUGGGCACUUCAAUGGCUACAUAUCGAGUUUGAACUUGUGGACGACAAGUACAUGUACCUAUUUGAAGUUGAUUAUUAUCAAUUUGAUUGUUGGAGGUUCAACACUGUAACUUACAUUGACUGUCUCCUGUAGCUGGUGGUAAUCCUUUGGAUCCAAAGAAACCAAAUUUUUUGAAACAUUGACCAUCCAAAGUGAACAGAAAUAUAAUCAACAAACAAACUAUACUGAAAUCCAUUGAUAAAGAUGUCUUCUUCACUUGAAAAUCAAAUUAUCAUGCAACUUAAAUUGAAAUUAAAUUGAAUUUUGUUUGAA